AGUGAACGCUGGCGGUAGGCCUAACACAUGCAAGUCGAACGGCAGCACAGUAAGAGCUUGCUCUUACGGGUGGCGAGUGGCGGACGGGUGAGGAAUACAUCGGAAUCUACUUUUUCGUGGGGGAUAACGUAGGGAAACUUACGCUAAUACCGCAUACGACCUACGGGUGAAAGCAGGGGAUCUUCGGACCUUGCGCGAUUGAAUGAGCCGAUGUCGGAUUAGCUAGUUGGCGGGGUAAAGGCCCACCAAGGCGACGAUCCGUAGCUGGUCUGAGAGGAUGAUCAGCCACACUGGAACUGGGACACAGUCCAGACUCCUACGGGAGGCAGCAGUGGGGAAUAUUGGACAAUGGGCGCAAGCCUGAUCCAGCCAUACCGCGUGGGUGAAGAAGGCCUUCGGGUUGUAAAGCCCUUUUGUUGGGAAAGAAAAGCAGCAGGUUAAUACCCCGCUGUUCUGACGGUACCCAAAGAAUAAGCACCGGCUAACUUCGU
rnacentral:rRNA from 1 species